rnacentral:lncRNA from 1 species
GUAAAAAGUUAAGUUUUAUACCAUUUUCAGUUUUGCGACAGCGAUUACAGAGAAAACGAAAAACACAGAACAACCAAAAACUACAACUAAAAGAUCUACGAAUACAAGAGAAAACACAACAAGGAAAGCAACAGCGAAACAACCAACAGAGAUCCGAAGAAGAAACACCGAUUCCAAGCCGCGAAACUCGGACAUUUGCGUGAUUGCCACAACUCCAAAGAGUUCGAGUCCUCAUCCUAGUUGCCACGAGCAAACCCUACCCGAAGUCUGUCCCAAAACCUCGAAAAAGAAGGGCGCUUAUAGCUUCUCCGAAGACUAACGCAAAAACGGAACAGCUAGAGUGGACGUUAUCGCACCCGGCGGCACGAGAGCGUCUAUGGACAGCCAGAGAAGCCGCCUCUGACCAUCAUUCCCGAGCGUGGAGCUACAGGAACCAUCUCCCACGGGUUU